rnacentral:rRNA from 1 species
UACGGGGGGAGCAAGCGUUGUUCGGAUUUACUGGGCGUAAAGGGCGCGUAGGCGGUCGUGACAAGUCACUUGUGAAAUCUCCGGGCUUAACUCGGAACGGUCAAGUGAUACUGUCGGACUAGAGUACAGAAGGGGCAACUGGAAUUCUCGGUGUAGCAGUGAAAUGCGUAGAUAUCGAGAGGAACACCAGUGGCGAAGGCGAGUCCCUGGACAAUACCUGACACUGAGGCACGAAAGCUAGGGGAGCAAACAGG